rnacentral:rRNA from 1 species
CCUACGGGUGGCAGCAGUGGGGGAUAUUGCACAAUGGGGGAAACCCUGAUGUAGCGACGCCGCGUGGGUGAAGAAGUAUUUCGGUAUGUAAAGCUCUAUCAGCAGGGAAGAAGAUGACAGUACCUGACCAAGAAGCCCCGGCUAACUACGUGCCAGCAGCCGCGGUAAUACGUAGGGGGCAAGCGUUAUCCGGAUUUACUGGGUGUAAAGGGGGUGUAGACGGUAAUGUAAGCCAGGAGUGAAAGCCCGGGGCCCAACCCCGGGACUGCUUUUGAAACUGUGUGGCUGGAGUACAGGAGGGGCAGGCGGAAUUCCUAGUGUAGCGGUGAAAUGCGUAGAUAUCAGGAGGAACACCGGCGGCGAAGGCGGCCUGCUGGACUGUAACUGACGUUGAGGCUCGAAGGCGUGGGGAGCAAACAGGAUUAGAUACCCGAGUAGUC